CCGCACACCGUCAUCAUUGCCCAACAUCCCCCUCGUGUGUCUUAUUUCUAGAUAGCACACAAAAGUUUGUUGACGGUUACUUUUCGUCUAAUGUAUACAGAGAGAAAACGUAACCACCAGUUUGGCAGCGUGUUGGACACCUAACAAGCUGGCCCUGCUGACUGACUGGAAUUCUGCUGGCGAAGUACAAUGUCUGCCUUCCCUCUCAGCAGCUUCUUUAAUGAGGACCUUGACAAUGAAGUGGCACAGCUUGCCGCGAAGGAUUUCGCAUCCCCGAAACUUGUCUGAACUCCGUCUCCCUCUGAAGAUCCAAGAGCGUCGUCGCUCCGAAAACAUCCACUUCAUGACGGCCUUCCGACAAAAAUUUGUUCCACUUUGAAAAGGUGUUGCAGUAAUGGAGGAUGAAAGCGGAGAAGAUGAGAGGAAACAGAUGAGGAAAAAUGAAGUCGACCAAGUGCCACGCCACCCCGAGACCUGGCUUUCACUGUAAUGAUUCCAGAGUGUCAAUAUGUAUUACUCGAGCUCCAUUAGCUCAGCUUGUGUUCCAUUAGCAUGUGUGCGGAUGCUCCACGUGACCUUCACAGUCGCUGGUGGGUCGUCGUCCAAUACAUCACUGCGCAUGACCCGUUAAAAAAGUGAAAAGUGGAACGUGGAUGUGUUUAGCAUCCGACAAGGUGACGAGGACAAAUCGGUCAAUUUGAGGACAUGUCAUUGGGUUAUUACCGAAUGAAAAUGAGGAAACGUCAUUUUUUUGGGAAGACUUUUUACACAUACACGCACUUACAGGAGUCACAUGAUUGCUAAUAAUUGUCGAACAAUAAUGAAGGGCGUGAACAGAUGCCGAUGAUCCCAAUUUACUGGAAGUAAAUCUGCCGCUUGUGCGCUUAUACAGUCCUAAUGAUGUCUUCCAUCAAUCUGCUUUUGCUCAUCGAGUAACAGUACUCGGAGUCGUUUUUUGGUGGGGGGAGGCGACUAAUGUCUCCGCUCGCCUUUGCUGCUGCGCCGCCCAAGAUUCAAUUUAUUAUCCGCAUGAAUCGUGCGGGUUUUAUCGCCGUACCCCAUGCCUAAAA